AUGAGAAAGUUACAGCGAGACUGGCAAUGAAUCAUGUUAAGUUCCAGGUGAGUUCAAGAAGACUUACGGUGCAACGUAAACUUGUUAGAACGAAAUAUAUGAAGGUGUAAGGGACGAAAGCAGUUGUGGGGCUAGCGGAAUAGCAGUGGACCGAUAACCGCAAAUGAGAAUGGUACAGGAAACUACGCUGUUCCACGCUUCCCUGGUGACCGAUGAGGCCAAUUCUGUGAACCACAUUUGCUUCAUUUGAAGCUGUUGUUCUAAACUUUUCUGUUAAUUGAAACGAAGAAAUUGGAAUACUCCUAGCGGUUAUUUUAAGUUUCUGGCCAGUUUAAGCUGCGCAAAAACUAUAGCUGCACCGUGGCGCGAGUAUUCCGGGAAAUCAAGGGCCUGUGGAUUAUAUACGUCUACGGUAUGUACAAGUUACUCUCAUCUAAGUACAAACGUUAUCAUUUCUGAGAGUAACGAAGACGCGGGGGAGCGUCACCAAGGGAAUUACUGAAUGGAGCAGUGAUGCUCGAUCCUUUCGAGGGGAAUGAUCCUAGGAAAAAGAGUACGAUGUGAGAUUUAAACUGGAGAUCUUCGGAAGUUGGGAUUUGCUGGCUGACCACUUUACAACUGCGCCAUCACCGACCCUCCAAUAUCUUGGUCUUCCAUACUUCUUUCUUCUCUCUCGGUGCCUCGAUCCAAUAUUAUAAAGAGCAAUAAAUGAGAACGAUUUUCCUUUGCUCUUUAAUUGCUUUUAAAAGCAGAAAUUUUAUUUCAUCUAACUCAAUGUUUUAGAUACCGAUCAGAAAACGUAACAAUAUUUCUAGUAUUAAUAAAAUGUCACAAACUUCUAAUUCAGUAAUAAUGAAAACCAAAGGGAUUUUUAA